rnacentral:rRNA from 1 species
UACAGAGGUGGCAAGCGUUGUUCGGAAUUACUGGGCGUAAAGGGCGCGUAGGCGGUUCGAUAAGUCCCGUGUGAAAUCCCUCGGCUCAACUGAGGAACUGCACGGGAAACUGACGGGCUUGAGUUCGGGAGAGGGAAGCGGAAUUCCGGGUGUAGCGGUGAAAUGCGUAGAUAUCGGGAGGAACACCAGUGGCGAAGGCGGGCAUCUGGGCCAACACUGACGCUGAGGCGCGAAAGCUAGGGGAGCAAACAGG